UGAGGGUGAGAGAGAGAGAGAGGGGGUGAGAGAGAGAGAGCGAGAGAGAGAGAGAGAGAGAGAGGAGGGGACCGGCGACGCAGCAGCUCCGCGCAUACUGUCAUCCGAGACGCAUGAGGAGAUGUUGGGGAAGCGGGAGGAGCAGCAGCAGCAGGAGGAUGCUGGCAGCAGAAUCGCCUCGGCCUUGGCAAAAGUAACACGCUGUGUGUGUGUGCGUAAUUUACCACCCGCAAAUUAACACACUUUUUAACGGGUUGGAUCAACGCAGUGUGCGGGUUCAAUCUCAAUUUUUCUCACUGGACUUUGGGCUCUGUUUGGUCACACUUGAGAGAUGACUGGUAGAAACUUGUCUUUUUUUGGGUACUGAAAGGACUUGAACCGGAGAUGCGGGAUUUACGCAAAGUUUGUGGCUUGAAUCUGUGGAGAGUAAAUGCAGUCACACAGAAACACACACACACCUCAUGUGAGGGCCUGCAGCUGGACAUCAGGACAGCAGGUCAGAGGAGACACUCGCUGCCUGGUGCCCCGAGGAGCAAAGGUGACCGACUGGGUCAGAAAGAGGCUUCGUCCCUCCAGAGUCGCAGCAGGAAGAGGAGGAGGAGGAGGAGGCAGUGGAGGAGGAAAAAGAGAAGCAGAGUGGGUGGAAGAAUGGAAGGAGAGAAGGAUAGAAGCAGUUCGAGGAGGUGGUUCGAAGCGGGUGAACCCAGAGCAGGUGAACGCAGCUGUGGAUCGCCAUGGGCUCUCUGGCUGCCUUCCUCUUGUGGCCCCGGUGCUGCAUACAGGGGUCCCGGGGAGCCAGCAGGGGCCAGCCAAAGCUGCGGCAGAGUGGGCAGGCUAGGCCAGCCAAGCCAGGAGAGAGGCAGGUGAGGCGGGUGAGCCAAGCUCUCAUUCCCGCCGGCUAGGAGCCUCCUCGGCAGAGUGGAGCAGCGCGGAGCAGCAGAAAUCAAUACAGAGGAGAGAGGCUAGCAGAGGUUGCCCAGCACCGCCUGCAGGCCUCGGAGCCCAGGGACCAACCACCACUGCUCCCAGCUCCUCUCUCCAUCUCUCUUUCUAUCUUUCUCCAGCAGUCCCAGCACCAGCCAGGGCCAGGGCCCUAACCUUGCAAGCACCCCACACGCAGUGUGUGUGUCAGUACAUGCACAUGUGCGUGUGAAACAGAGAAAAAGGGAGAGGGAAGAGACAGAGAAACAGUCUUUGUGUGUGGUUCAGCCGGAGGGUUUUUCUCGCGUCCAACACCACUUGAUAAAACUUUGUCAGAGAGACAUGGAGACAGCAAGGGAGGGAGCGAAACGGUGUAAGAAUGAGACAGGACGUCGGAGGUCUCUUUUCUUCCAGCUCCCUCCCUCCUAUUACUCAUUCCACCUUAACAGCUUGAAUAAGGAUCCAUCUGAGAUGUAGCCAACACGGAACGUUUCUGCUCAGUCCCACUUCCAAGCACGUAGCGCACAAUAUUCCGAAGAUCUCAUGAGCCAGGAUGAAAGGACAAUUUGAACUUUUUCUCUCAUCCACUAUAUCAGACACAACCUGUCUUUUCGCCUUAGAUUUUCUUGCCCUCACUACAGCAGCUCCCAUCAGAGGAUAUGGCAGUGCAGUAUUGAUCUAUAAGGUGGAAGGCAGGAAGGCGGGCCUGGGCUUUCAUACCUCUCUCACUACGUGUGGGGAAAUAGCACCUGAAGUCCACUUACUGCUGUGCAGCAGGGAUCCCAUGGCAGCGCAAGUGAAUGGCUGCUAAUUGAAUGAGAGAUAAAAAAGACAGUAGUUUCACCUGUGCAGUGCUCCCUCCUCCUGUCUGAUUGCUACUUAGACUUUUCUCUCCACCACAUAUACAAAAGUCCUGGUUCACACAAAGAGAUGUUUUAGCAAAAUUGCUAAAGAAAACUUGCAAAAUAAUCACAAAUGAGAAGACCUGGUUUCCCAUCAGUGUAGACAUGAACCACUUCAGAAAAAAAGAAGAGAGAAGAAACAAGCAUAUGUUUAAUGCAGUGAUAGAAACCUCCGAGUGAAACUUAAGUUCUGAGGCCUUGUCACAAAACAUAUUGUGCAUGUUUGAGAUCUGGAAUGGCACUAGAAGACAGAUGGACAGUUUCCUGAGCAUGAAAACUUACAGAGAUCACAAUGGGAUUCUUCUUCGUCUUGAUGCAGUCAGAAAUGCCACCGUGAAGAGGAAAAACGGCGAUCAAGCUUCCAUCAUUAGGCCCGAAUAACAAAGCGCACACGCUAUCUGUAGCCAGUUUCUUAGAACAUGUUUAGCCUUGGCUACAUAUGGAAACCGCCGCCUCUGCACCUGCAAGAACAGCCAGUUAGACACACAUCAUUAGAGUCUGAUUGUCAGCGGUCUUUGUGGACGCGAGCAGGUAAGUCAGAGCCGUUUCUAAAAGGUAAGUGUAGAGGUUGAAUCAAUUUAAGAGCUGUCUAAAGUGUAAAAUGGAGCCGCCGAACAAUAUUUUCCAAAAUUAGUUUCAUUAGAUAUGAAUUACUAUAUUUGAGACCAAUUUUAGGUCGGAGAUUGGAUGAGACCCCAAGGGGUCCCUCUUUUCACUUAGUAAUUUACAUUCAAGUAUUUGACUGUAAAAUUGUUCAAGAGUUUGUAGCGGUUGAAUUACUUUCCACUUUUUGUGUACACAUACGAAUUUAUACAAUCUUUCUGACAGUGUAAUCAACUAAUUUAUCAUGAAAGAGCGAAUGAGAUUGCGAUAUUAUGAAAGUGUUGUUUUGAUAUGGUAUAUAUGCUCAAUAAAGUUGAUCCAUGUGAAAUGAAAA